rnacentral:rRNA from 1 species
UACGGGGGGAGCAAGCGUUGUUCGGAUUUACUGGGCGUAAAGGGCGCGUAGGCGGCCUCUGCAAGUCGACUGUGAAAUCUCCGGGCUUAACCCGGAAAGGUCAGCCGAUACUGCAGGGCUAGAGUGCAGAAGGGGCAACUGGAAUUCUCGGUGUAGCGGUGAAAUGCGUAGAUAUCGAGAGGAACACCUGCGGCGAAGGCGGGUUGCUGGGCUGACACUGACGCUGAGGCGCGAAGCUAGGGAGCGAACGGG